CCUACGGGAGGCAGCAGUGGGGAAUAUUGGGCAAUGGGCGCAAGCCUGACCCAGCAACGCCGCGUGAAGGAAGAAGGCUUUAGGGUUGUAAAAUUCUUUUGUCAGGGAAGAGUAGAAGACGGUAACUGACGCAUCAGGAACGGCUAACUACGUGCCAGCAGCUGCGGUCAUACGUAGGUGGAAAGCGUUGUCCGGAUUUCCUGGGUGUACAGGGUGUGUAGCCGGAUAGACAAGGUAGAUGUUAAGUCCUGAGGCUUAACCGCAGAACUGCAUUUGAAACUGUUGAUCUUGAGUACUCGAGAGGCAUACGGAAGGCGUAGUGUAGCGGUGAAAUGCGUAGAUAUCAGGAAGAACACCAGUGGCGAAGGCAGUCUGCGGGACAGCAACUGACGGUGAGGCGCGAAAGCGUGGGGAGCAAACAGGAUUAGAUACCCGAGUAGUC
rnacentral:rRNA from 1 species